rnacentral:rRNA from 1 species
UACAGAGGUCCCAAGCGUUGUUCGGAUUCAUUGGGCGUAAAGGGUGCGUAGGCGGCGCGGUAAGUCGGGUGUGAAAUCUCGGAGCUUAACUCCGAAACUGCAUUCGAUACUGCCGUGCUUGAGGACUGGAGAGGAGACUGGAAUUUACGGUGUAGCGGUGAAAUGCGUAGAUAUCGUAAGGAAGACCAGUGGCGAAGGCGAAUCCCUGGAAAAUACCUGACACUGAGGCACGAAAGCUAGGGGAGCAAACAGG